rnacentral:rRNA from 1 species
UACAGAGGGUGCGAGCGUUGUCCGGAAUCACUGGGCGUAAAGGGCGCGUAGGUGGCGACCCAAGUCGAUGGUGAAAGCUCGCCGCUCAACGGCGAGUCGGCCACCGAUACUGGGUUGCUGGAGCACUGUCAGAGGCAGAUGGAAUUCCGGGUGUAGCGGUGGAAUGCGUUAGAGGAUCCGGAAGAACACCGGUGGCGAAGGCGGUCUGCUGGGGCAG